UAGGCAAACUUGCCGAAAGGCAAGGACGCAAAGCCUUGGAUCUAAGGGUUUUUACCUAGGAUUGCCAGGCUGCCA
rnacentral:ncRNA from 1 species